UUUGCAGGAGUGAAACGUGUGGUAGAUUUAUGUGCUGCCCGUGGUAGUUGGAGUCAGGGAAGGUGAUCUUCCGCUUAUAGUCGCAAUUGAUCUACAACCUAUGGCUCCAAUUGAGGGAGUCAUCCAACUACAGGGUGAUAUAACAAAUGCCCAAACAGCUGAAGUGAAGCUAGUGCAAGUGGAAGAGACAAGGUUUUUUUUGGCUUCUGCUUUUGGACUUACAAGCUUUUGAUGCCAAAUAGCAAGUUCAUAUCGAGAGAGGAAAGUUACAAACAGAAGUGAGCUGCAGAAAUCCUCCUAUACAAGCUCUUUUCUUAUCUUCUGUGAUGGAUUUCGCUCUCUGCUGCAUAGGGGUCGUCUUCGAGUACUCGUC